GACGAACGCUGGCGGCGUGCUUAACACAUGCAAGUCGAACGGAAAGGCCCUGCUUGCGGGGUACUCUAGUGUCGAACGGGUGUGUAACACGUGGGUGAUCUGCGCUGUACUUCGGGAUAUGCCUGGGAAACAGUGUCUAUUACCGCAGAUGAGCCAUUCUUAGUGUGAUUGUUGGAUAGUUUUUUCGGUGUAGGAUGAGCUCGCGGCCUAUCAGCUUGUUGGUGGGGUAGUGGCCUACCAAGGCGGCGACGGGUAGCCGGCCUGAGAGGGUGGACGGCCACAUUGGGACUGAGAUACGGCCCAGACUCCUACGGGAGGCAGCAGUGGGGAAUAUUGCACAAUGGGCGCAAGCCUGAUGCAGCGACGCCGCGUGGGGGAUGACGGCCUUCGGGUUGUAAACUCCUUUCGCUAGGGACGAAGCUUUUUGGGACGGUACCGAGAUAAGAAGCACCGGCUAACUACGU
rnacentral:rRNA from 1 species